CCUGGCCCUGGUGAUGGUGGGAGGUCCCGAUGUAUGAUUCCUGUUUAUAAUAAAAUUCACCCCGAUUGAAUGCCCGAUUGUUGCCUCGAUGCGUUUCUUUCUUUCUCGAUGUGAAUGUGCCUUGUUGUUUGUGUAUGCUUGAGAUUGACCUUGAUAUAUUGUGCCUUAUUGUGAAUGCUUGAGACUAACCAUGGUUUAUGGUUAUUUGUUCAGAUAUUGAUCUAUUGAAGGCUGACUUGG
rnacentral:lncRNA from 1 species